rnacentral:misc_RNA from 1 species
AACCUUAUGGACCUGCGGGCGUAUACCUGCGGAGGGAUCAUUAAAGUGGGCGGCCGGUUCAUAGCGCGAUGUAGCGGCAAUCCCGCUCUCGUGCGCCCGGCCCCUCCAAAGAAGCGGGUGUGAACAGCGCUCAAGUCAGUCUUUCGGGCGUGCUCCUGAAAGCGUUGCUGUUUCACAUGUCUGAAUCCUUGUCUUGUGUACCAUCUGUUUCCUCGGCGGGCACGCUCGCCAAUGGGGACC